UUGACUGAUGGCAUAAUUACACUGGACACGUUACAAAUUGAUGUUAAGGAGAAAGGUCUUACCUAUGUCCCUGAGCAGUCACUAAAGAUAAAUGCAACUACGAGCAUUUCCACUGGGAUUGUUUAGGAUGGAUUAGUGUAAUUUCUGUUUCUUGCCACACUUUGUAUUGAGCCAUGGAAAGGAAUUUGAAGGUCUGUCUCAUGCAGGACCUAGUUCUUGGUGUUCCUUGAUGUUGUGGGAAUGGUUCUGUUGCUUUUUUUU
rnacentral:misc_RNA from 1 species